AACGAACGCUGGCGGCAGGCUUAACACAUGCAAGUCGAACGCAUCGCAAGAUGAGUGGCAGACGGGUGAGUAACACGUGGGAAUCUACCCAUCCCUGCGGAACAACUCCGGGAAACUGGAGCUAAUACCGCAUACGCCCUUUGGGGGAAAGAUUUAUCGGGGAUGGAUGAGCCCGCGUUGGAUUGCUAGUUGGUGGGGUAAAGGCCUACCAAGGCGACGAUCCAUAGCUGGUCUGAGAGGAUGAUCUGCCACAUUGGGACUGAGACACGGCCCAAACUCCUACGGGAGGCAGCAGUGGGGAAUAUUGGACAAUGGGCGCAAGCCUGAUCCAGCCAUGCCGCGUGAGUGAUGAAGGCCUUAGGGUUGUAAAGCUCUUUCACCGGAGAAGAUAAUGACGGUAUCCGGAGAAGAAGCCCCGGCUAACUUCGUGCCAGCCGCCGCUGUAAUAC
rnacentral:rRNA from 1 species